UACGUAGGUGACAAGCGUUGUCCGGAUUGACUGGGCGUAAAGAGCGCGCAGGCGGUCGAUCAAGUCGAGUGUGAAAGCCCCCGGCUCAACUGGGGAGGGUCAUUCGAUACUGAUCGACUCGAAGGCAGGAGAGGGUAGUGGAAUUCCCGGUGUAGUGGUGAAAUGCGUAGAUAUCGGGAGGAACACCAGUGGCGAAGGCGACUACCUGGCCUGUUCUUGACGCUGAGGCGCGAAAGCUAGGGGAGCAAACGGG
rnacentral:rRNA from 1 species